UCCUGGUUUCCCAGGCAGUCCAAUCAGAGUGCUUUACUAAAAGUAAAUAGCAACUGAUCGCAAGGGUUGCGCUCGUUAGAGGACUUAACCAAACAUCUCACGACACGAGCUGACGGCAGCCAUGCAACACCUGUGCACCUGUCCAGACCGAAGCCUGGAAAACUAUAUUUCUAUAGCGAUCAAGCACAUGUCAAGCCCAGGUAAGAUUCCUCGCGUAGUGUCGAAUUAAACCACAUGUUCCACCGCUUGUUCGGACCCCCGUCAAUUCCUUUAAGUUUUAAUCUUGCGACCGUAAUCCCCAGGCGAAUCACUUAACGCGUUAGCUACGACACCAAUCCAGCAGAGCCGGACUGACGUCUAGUGAUCAUCGUUUACAGCGUGGACUAC
rnacentral:misc_RNA from 1 species